rnacentral:rRNA from 2 species
GGUUAAGUUAGAAAGGGCGCACGGUGGAUGCCUUGACACUAGGAGUCGAUGAAGGACGGGACUAACGCCGAUAUGCUUCGGGGAGCUGUAAGUAAGCUUUGAUCCGAAGAUUUCCGAAUGGGGAAACCCACUAUACGUAAUGGUAUGGUAUCCUUACCUGAAUACAUAGGGUAUGGAAGACAGACCCAGGGAACUGAAACAUCUAAGUACCUGGAGGAAGAGAAAGCAAAUGCGAUUUCCUGAGUAGCGGCGAGCGAAACGGAAUCUAGCCCAAACCAAGAGGCUUGCCUCUUGGGGUUGUAGGACAUUCUAUACGGAGUUACAAAGGAACGAGGUAGACGAAGCGACCUGGAAAGGUCCGUCGUAGAGGGUAACAACCCCGUAGUCGAAACUUCGUUCUCUCUUGAAUGUAUCCUGAGUACGGCGGAACACGUGAAAUUCCGUCGGAAUCUGGGAGGACCAUCUCCCAAGGCUAAAUACUCCCUAGUGAUCGAUAGUGAACCAGUACCGUGAGGGAAAGGUGAAAAGCACCCCGGAAGGGGAGUGAAAGAGAUCCUGAAACCGUGUGCCUACAAAUAGUCAGAGCCCGUUAAUGGGUGAUGGCGUGCCUUUUGUAGAAUGAACCGGCGAGUUACGAUCCCGUGCGAGGUUAAGUUGAAGAGACGGAGCCGCAGCGAAAGCGAGUCUGAAUAGGGCGUUUAGUACGUGGUCGUAGACCCGAAACCAGGUGAUCUACCCAUGUCCAGGGUGAAGUUCAGGUAACACUGAAUGGAGGCCCGAACCCACGCACGUUGAAAAGUGCGGGGAUGAGGUGUGGGUAGCGGAGAAAUUCCAAUCGAACCUGGAGAUAGCUGGUUCUCCCCGAAAUAGCUUUAGGGCUAGCCUUAAGUGUAAGAGUCUUGGAGGUAGAGCACUGAUUGAACUAGGGGUCCUCAUCGGAUUACCGAAUUCAGUCAAACUCCGAAUGCCAAUGACUUAUCCUUAGGAGUCAGACUGCGAGUGAUAAGAUCCGUAGUCAAGAGGGAAACAGCCCAGAUCGCCAGCUAAGGUCCCAAAGUGUGUAUUAAGUGGAAAAGGAUGUGGAGUUGCUUAGACAACUAGGAUGUUGGCUUAGAAGCAGCCACCAUUUAAAGAGUGCGUAAUAGCUCACUAGUCGAGUGACUCUGCGCCGAAAAUGUACCGGGGCUAAAUACACCACCGAAGCUGCGAAUUGAUACC